UACGUAGGGAGCAAGCGUUGUCCGGAAUCACUGGGCGUAAAGGGAGCGUAGGUGGUUAUAUAAGUCUUUAGUAAAAGGCAUGGGCUUAACCGAUGUAAGCUAGAGAAACUAUAUAACUUGAGUGCAGUAGAGGUAAGCGGAAUUCCUAGUGUAGCGGUGAAAUGCGUAGAUAUUAGGAGGAACACCAGUGGCGAAGGCGGCUUACUGGGCUGUAACUGACACUGAGGCUC
rnacentral:rRNA from 1 species